GCGAAAUGCGAUAAGUGGUGUGAAUUGCAGAAUCCCGUGAACCAUCGAGUCUUUGAACGCAAGUUGCGCCCAAAGCCAUCAGGCUAAGGGCACGCCUGCCUGGGCGUUGUGUGCUCUGUCUCUCCUGCCAAGGCUUUCCUAGCAUAUAGUUAGGCUGGCAUUGUGC
rnacentral:rRNA from 1 species